GGGCCAUAGCUCAGCUGGGAGAGCGCCUGCUUUGCACGCAGGAGGUCAGGAGUUCGAUCCUCCUUGGCUCCACCA
rnacentral:tRNA from 2 species